rnacentral:lncRNA from 1 species
CCCGCUUCCUCUGCCCCCUCUUUGUCUUCUUUCUCGCUUCCGCCCUUUCUCUCUGCCUGCUUUCGUUUGGGUCCACUCCCACCCUAGUCACUGGGGUGGAGUGUGCUGGAUCCCGGGCCCCUUUGAAGACCAUUCCAGCUGAGCAGCCUUGCGGUUCUGUGCCCGGGAGAAGUGGGACUCUCUCGUAGGGAGCAUGGGAGCAAGCGAGGCAGCAGAUACUGUGUGGGUCAGUGACUCAUCCUGUGGCCUUUGCAAUUUGGGAACACAAACCUGACCUAGUAGAGACCCCGGCAUUGUGGAACGGGGAGAUCGGCCCAGUGUCUGUGUCCAACUGUGCCUUCCAGAGUUCAAGUCUCCUUCCCACCAAGAUGUCCAGCCCAGAACCUCCAGCUCUCCGGCUGAGGCUUGGCUACCAAUGUCCUAUGGGACAGCAGGCCGAUCAGCUGAUGGGCCUCAAUCUUCUCAUCUAUCAAAUGGGCUCAAUAACACGUAUCUUGCCAACCUUUCAGCAUCCAGGGAUUUAGAGAGGAGAAGCAAAGGGGACAGAGAGACUCACACGAGGACAACACGGGCCUGAACAGGCAGAAGAGGCUGCUCAUCUCACCUCUCUGCUGGCCGUCGCCCCACCCUGGCUGAGAGGAA